GUGAGUUUGCAGACUAAAAACUAAUACAUUUUGAAUUUACACAGGUAUUUGAUGCUUUAAGAACAACAAUGUUCAUUCUUGGAAUGAUUUCUGUGUUUGUGGGCAUUUCUUUGCUAGCACCAGAUGAAUCAAAAGGAGGUGAAGUGAAGGAUGGUUCUUUAGUUUCAACAACUUCAAAUUUGUCGCAGGAUGAGGAGAGGCUGUUCAUGCAAUCUGAAGACUCCCAAAUUAAGGAUAU